rnacentral:rRNA from 1 species
ACGGAAGGCAGCAGUGGGGAAUAUUGGGCAAUGGGCGCAAGCCUGACCUAGCGACGCCGCGUGAGUGAAGAAGUAUUUCGGUAUGUAAAGCUCUAUCAGCAGGGAAGAUAAUGACGGUACCUGACUAAGAAGCCCCGGCUAACUACGUGCCAGCAGCCGCGGUAAUACGUAGGGGGCAAGCGUUAUCCGGAUUUACUGGGUGUAAAGGGAGCGUAGGCGGCGCAGCAAGUCAGAUGUGAAACCCCGGGGCUUAACCUCGGGACUGCAUUUGAAACUGCAGUGCUAGAGUGCGGGAGAGGUAAGCGGAAUUCCUAGUGUAGCGGUGAAAUGCGUAGAUAUUAGGAAGAACACCAGUGGCGAAGGCGGCUUACUGGACUGUAACUGACGCUGAGGCUCGAAAGCGUGGGGAGCAAACAGGAUUAGAUACCCUGGUA